GAACGAGAAAGUGGAGCAAUCCAUGAGUACAGUGGCGUACGGGUGAGUAACACGUGGGUGAUCUACCUCUUAGUGAGGAAUAACCCUGGGAAACCGGGGCUAAUACCGCAUAAGCCUGAGAAGGGAAAGCAGCAAUGCGCUGAGAGAGGAGCCCGCGGCCGAUUAGCUAGUUGGUGAGGUAAGAGCCCACCAAGGCAGAGAUCGGUAGCCGGCCUGAGAGGGCACACGGCCACACUGGCACUGAAACACGGGCCAGACUCCUACGGGAGGCAGCAGUGGGGAAUCUUGCACAAUGGGGGAAACCCUGAUGCAGCGACGCCGCGUGAGCGAUGAAGCCCUUCGGGGUGUAAAGCUCUUUCGUCAGGGAAGAUAGUGACGGUACCUGGAGAAGCAGCUGCGGCUAACUACGUG
rnacentral:rRNA from 1 species